GGUUGUGGUUCAGUGGUACAGCGCUUGCCAAGUAUGCGUGAGGCACCGGGUUCAAUCCCGGAACCA
rnacentral:tRNA from 1 species